AAAGGACUCGUCCUGCAUUGCUCCGUCAAUAAGAAGUUCACGCCCAGAGCAAGACAGUGUUCGUACAGAGUGCCGAGGCCGUGGCUUCCAAAAGAUUUGUUCUGUUCGUACUAGCCUGCAUCGUCGGUUCGAUCAUAUUGGAAAUUUCGGCUUUGCCAACGCGUGGGAUGGAUGCCGAAAUGCUUCCCGGGCAGUAAGUACUUCGACGGAUGCAACGAUUGCUAUUGUAACAACGGUAGAUACUCAUGCAACUUGAAAGUUUGCGGGCGGUUUAUUUCAAAUGGUUCUAAUCAACCGGAAACGAAUCGCCCGCCUCGCCUCCCGAUUUCUGAAUCGUGAAUACAACUACAUUCCGAACUUGCUAACUCACAUAUGCUCACGUGUACGUUUAAAAUGAUUUGAAAUGCACGUGGUGCGUACAUCUUAAACAAUUGAAUCAUUACAUGAUAGUUUUGGUAAACUAAUGGUGCAGAGAUUCAGCAAGUAACCCCGAAAAUAUGUAAUUUGAAAUACAAAAUUGAUAAGGUAAACUUGACAAAAUGUAUAUUGUAUUUGUAUUACAAUAUUUUUAAACACACAUAUUAAGAUUUCGCCAUUUAACUGUGGAUACAAUUAAGAUACAGGUAUAUUUUAAGAAAGGUAAUAUUAUUUGCGCAUAGAACAAACACUUAUUUAUACAAUUUUAAGUUUCCGUUUAUUGCAAUGUUUCAGAGGUAGACAAAUCUGAUAUAUUAAUGUUUGCCAAGUAUCGUGAUAAAUUUAAUAUAAAUCUUGAAUCGCUUAUUGCUAGUAGUUAUUUUUGUAUUAUUAAUAAUUAAAUUGUAUAAUAUGAAACAUAAAGAUUGAAAACACGUGUCCAUAGGCAAAUGGCUCCAUUCUGUUGCAUUCGAUUUUGGUCAGAAAGUAGGUACCAAACGAAUCGUCUCGUCAAAAUAAUCGUAGAUAUGUCAGUCUCAGAGUGUAAUAGUUAACGUUCCAGAAACAGAGGGCU